GUCUCAAUGAGGAGCAUAAAAGAACGUGAUUAGCUCUCGAAUCUUCCAAGCUCUUAAAGUAAAGUUACUCUUGGUGAUUUUUUCAGGCCUUGGUGUUUUGCAAGUCUUCUGACUCCAGUUGCCGCAUGUAUUAAUUAUCACUUCUGGCAGCCAUGCUUCACUGUUUGGAGAAACUUCUUGGCCAGAGAGACCCAAGUAUUUGAGGUGGAGUGACAAGGGAGGAAAAGCAAAGCAGUUCAAGUCUGAAGGCUUCUGGCAGAAUUCCCUCCUAGCGGGAGGUUUAUUCAUUACUUGAGUUUCUUCUUUUGCAAAGUCCCUCUCCAGGUAUGUUGCCCAUUUCUUCAGCUGAAUUAUUUAUCCUUUUCUUAUUGAUAC